ACUCCUACGGGAGGCAGCAGUGGGGAAUAUUGGACAAUGGGCGAAAGCCUGAUCCAGCCAUGCCGCGUGUGUGAAGAAGGUCUUCGGAUUGUAAGGCACUUUAAGUUGGGAGGAAGGGCAGUAAGUUAAUACCUUGCUGUUUUGACGUUACCAACAGAAUAAGCACCGGCUAACUUCGUGCCAGCAGCCGCGGUAAU
rnacentral:rRNA from 1 species